rnacentral:rRNA from 1 species
ACGUACACUCCUACGGGAGGCAGCAGUGGGGAAUAUUGGACAAUGGGCGCAAGCCUGAUCCAGCCAUGCCGCGUGAGUGAUGAAGGCCCUAGGGUUGUAAAGCUCUUUCACCGGUGAAGAUAAUGACGGUAACCGGAGAAGAAGCCCCGGCUAACUUCGUGCCAGCAGCCGCGGUAAUACGAAGGGGGCUAGCGUUGUUCGGAUUUACUGGGCGUAAAGCGCACGUAGGCGGACUAUUAAGUCAGGGGUGAAAUCCCGGGGCUCAACCCCGGGACUGCCUUUGAUACUGGUAGUCGUGAGUGCGAGAGAGGUGAGUGGAAUUCCGAGUGUAGAGGUGAAAUUCGUAGAUAUUCGGAGGAACACCAGUGGCGAAGGCGGCUCACUGGCUCGAUACUGACGCUGAGGUGCGAAAGCGUGGGGAGCAAACAGGAUUAGAAACCCGGGUAGUCCCAUGAU